AACGAGUUAUCUGAACCUUCGGGGAACGAUAACGGCGUCCAGUGGCGGACGGGUGAGUAAUGCCUAGGAAAUUGCCCUGAUGUGGGGGAUAACCAUUGGAAACGAUGGCUAAUACCGCAUAACGCCUACGGGCCAAAGAGGGGGACCUUCGGGCCUCUCGCGUCAGGAUAUGCCUAGGUGGGAUUAGCUAGUUGGUGAGGUAAGGGCUCACCAAGGCGACGAUCCCUAGCUGGUCUGAGAGGAUGAUCAGCCACACUGGAACUGAGACACGGUCCAGACUCCUACGGGAGGCAGCAGUGGGGAAUAUUGCACAAUGGGCGCAAGCCUGAUGCAGCCAUGCCGCGUGUGUGAAGAAGGCCUUCGGGUUGUAAAGCACUUUCAGUCGUGAGGAAGGUAGUGUAGUUAAUAGCUGCAUUAUUUGACGUUAGCGACAGAAGAAGCACCGGCUAACUCCGUGCCAGCAGCCGCGGUAAUACGGAGGGUGCGAGCGUUAAUCGGAAUUACUGGGCGUAAAGCGCAUGCAGGUGGUUUGUUAAGUCAGAUGUGAAAGCCCGGGGCUCAACCUCGGAAUUGCAUUUGAAAACUGGCAGACUAGAGUACU
rnacentral:rRNA from 1 species